CGCACCCUCUCCUGGCUGGAGAGGUGGCGCGCGGCUAUGGCAGCAGCCUCUUUAGCCGCGUGCCACCUCUCCAGCCGGGAGAGGGUGCG